UUGGGCUCUGAUUGCUGGGCCUGUCGGGGCUGCUAGAGGUGGAGCUCAUCUGCGCAGUGUCAGGACCUCCUGCCAUACUCUCUGCAGCAGGUAUUCCUCUUCUCUGGUGACUUUGGACUGUUGGUGCAGCGGACACCCGGAAACUGUGGUCUCUUCGUCUUUCUCCUGUGAUGCAUUCACAUGGUUCAACAUAUGAAAGGUUUGAUUGUGCAAAGGCAAUUGUCUUCUUGUCCCAGCCUCCUAAUUUUCCUGGAAAUUAAGAAAGAAAAUUCACUUAGACAGCAAGGUCACAUUUGCCGUGACACAGCUCAACUCAAGCGGAUCUGUGAGAAACAGCU